rnacentral:rRNA from 1 species
GACGUAGGGCGCGAGCGUUGUCCGGAAUUAUUGGGCGUAAAGGGCUCGUAGGCGGUCUGUUGCGUCGGGAGUGAAAACUCAGGGCUUAACCCUGAGCCUGCUUCCGAUACGGGCAGACUAGAGGUAUGCAGGGGAGAACGGAAUUCCUGGUGUAGCGGUGAAAUGCGCAGAUAUCAGGAGGAACACCGGUGGCGAAGGCGGUUCUCUGGGCCUGUUCUGACGCUGAGGAGCGAAAGCGUGGGGAGCGAACAGG